AUUGAAUAAUUUAUUAUAUAGGGAAUUUUUUAGUGUAUUUAAUAAAAAUAUUUUUUUUUUUAUUAUUUUUAUAGAAAAAAUAGUUUUUAUUAUAGUUGAUUUGUAUUGUAAAAGAAUAUUUAAAUAAAUGAAAAUUUAAAUUUAUAAAAGUAAUAUAAUUUUGUACCUUGUGUAUCAGGGUUAAUUAAUUUAAUAUUAAGAAUUUAAUUUUCUCGAAUUUUUAAGAGUUAAUAUAUUAUAUAUUUUAUUGUUAAAUAAAUAUUUAAAAUAAUAUAUUAGAAGUGAAAUGCUAUUCGUUUAAAGUAUAUCUAGUUUUUUUAGAAAUAAAUUUAAUUUAGUUGUUAAAUUUGAUAUUUUUUAUUCAAUAAAAUUAUUAAUUUAAUAGUAAAUAUUUUAAGGGAUUAGCUUUAAAUUAAAUUUUUAUAAUAAAUAAUUUAAUUUUUUAAAUUUAUAGAAUUAGAAGUAUUUUUUAUUUAAAGGAUGUUAUAAUUUAUUUAGAUUGUAGAUUUUAUUUUUAUUUUAUUUAAGUUAUUUAUAAAAAAAAAUAUUUUAAUGAUAUUUAUUUUAUUAUAAUGAUUAAAUUAGUAUAUAAAUUAUGUAUAUUAUUAUUGUAUAAAUAAGGUUAUAUUAAGGAAUUCGGCAAAUAAUUUUUCGCCUGUUUAAUAAAAACAUGUCUUUUUGAUAAUAAUUUAAAGUCUGAUCUGCCCCCUGAAAAUUUAAAUGGCCGCGGUAUUUUGACCGUGCAAAGGUAGCAUAAUAAUUAGUUUUUUAAUUGAAAGCUGGAAUGAAUGAUUUAACGAGAAAAUUACUGUCUCAGUAUAAUUUUUAUAGAAUUUAAUUUUUAAGUAAAAAAGCUUAAAUAUUUUUAAAAGACGAGAAGACCCUAUAGAGUUUUAUUAAUAUUUAAAUUUAUUAAUCAUUAGGAUUUUUUUUUAUUAGAUUAAAGUAUUAAUUUUGUUGGGGAGAUAGAAAAAUUUAAUUAACUUUUUUUAUUUAUUAAUAUAGAUAAGUAUUUAUUUGACCCUUAUUUUAGGAUUAUAAGAUUAAAUUACCUUAGGGAUAACAGCGUAAUUUUUUUUUAGAGUUCAUAUUAAAAGAAAAGAUUGCGACCUCGAUGUUGGAUUAAAAUAAAUUUUUGGUGUAGAAGCUAGAAUAAUUAGGUCUGUUCGACCUUUAAAAUUUUACAUGAUCUGAGUUUAGACCGGCGUGAGCCAGGUCGGUUUCUAUCUUUAAAUAAUUUAAAUAUUUUAGUACGAAAGGACCAAGUAUUAGAUUAAUAAAUUUUUUAUUAGAAUUUUAUUGUUACUUUGGCAGAAUAGUGCAAUAAAUUUAGAAUUUAUAAAUGUAAUAAUUAUACAAG
rnacentral:rRNA from 1 species